rnacentral:rRNA from 1 species
GACGAACGCUGGCGGCGUGCUUAACACAUGCACGUCGAACGGAGCGGCGAACGGGUGAGUAACACGUGGGUGACCUGCCCUGCACUUCGGGGUAAGCCUGGGAAACUGGGACAAAUACUGGAUAGUGUGGGAUGGGCCCGCGGCCUAUCAGCUGGUUGGUGGGGUAAUGGCCUACAAAGGCGGCGACGGGUAGCCGGCCUUAGGGGGUGGACGGCCACAUUGGGACUGAGACACGGCCCAGACUCGUCCGGGAGGCAGCAGUGAGGAAUAUUGCACAAUGGGCGGAAGGCUGGUGCAGCGACGCCGCGUGGGGGAUGAGGGCCGGCGGGUUGUGAACUCCUUUGUCCAUCGUCGCGGAAGAUGGAGAAGAAGCACCGGCUGACUCCGUGCCAGCAGCCGCGGUAAUUC